GAUGAACGCUAGCGGCAGGCUUAAUACAUGCAAGUCGUGGGGCAGCAGCUCUGUAGCAAUACAGAGGCUGGCGACCGGCAAACGGGUGCGGAACACGUACACAACCUUCCUUUAAGUGGGGAAUAGCACAGAGAAAUUUGGAUUAAUACCCCGUAAAAUAGUGAAAAGGCAUCUUUUUACUAUUAUAGCAGUAAUGCGAUUGAUGAUGGGUGUGCGGCUGAUUAGAUAGUUGGCGGGGUAACGGACCACCAAGUCUGCGAUCAGUAACUGGUGUGAGAGCACGACCAGUCACACGGGCACUGAGACCCGGGCCCGACUCCUACGGGAGGCAGCAGUAAGGAAUAUUGGUCAAUGGACGCAAGUCUGAACCAGCCAUGCCGCGUGGAGGAUGAAGGUCCUCUGGAUUGUAAACUUCUUUUACAUGGGACGAAAAAAGGUCUUUCUAGAUCAACUGACGGUACCAUAUGAAUAAGCACCGGCUAACUCCGUGCCAGCCGCCGCGGUAACAC
rnacentral:rRNA from 1 species